AUUGAACGCUGGCGGCAUGCCUUACACAUGCAAGUCGAACGGCAGCACGGGUGCUUGCACCUGGUGGCGAGUGGCGAACGGGUGAGUAAUACAUCGGAACAUGUCCUGUAGUGGGGGAUAGCCCGGCGAAAGCCGGAUUAAUACCGCAUACGAUCUACGGAUGAAAGCGGGGGACCUUCGGGCCUCGCGCUAUAGGGUUGGCCGAUGGCUGAUUAGCUAGUUGGUGGGGUAAAGGCCUACCAAGGCGACGAUCAGUAGCUGGUCUGAGAGGACGACCAGCCACACUGGGACUGAGACACGGCCCAGACUCCUACGGGAGGCAGCAGUGGGGAAUUUGGGACAAUGGGCGAAAGCAUGAUCCAGCAAUGCCGCGUGUGUGAAGAAGGCCUUCGGGUUGUAAAGCACUUUUGUCCGGAAAGAAAUCCUUGGCCCUAAUACGGUCGGGGGAUGACGGUACCGGAAGAAUAAGCACCGGCUAACUACGUG
rnacentral:rRNA from 1 species